GAUGAAGAACGCAGCGAAAUGCGAUAAGUAAUGUGAAUUGCAGAAUUCAGUGAAUCAUCGAAUCUUUGAACGCAUCUUGCGCUCCUUGGUAUUCCUUGGAGCAUGCCUGUUUGAGUAUCAUGAGCAAAUCUCAAAGUCAAUUCCUUUUGUUGAUUCAAUUGGUUUUGCUUUGGACUUGGAGGCCUUGCAGAUUUCACAGUCUGCUCCUCUUAAAUGCAUUAGCUGGAUCUCAGUAAUUAUGCUUGGUUCCACUCGGCGUGAUAGGUAUCACUCGCUGAGGACACUGUUAAAAAGGUGGCCAGGAAAAUACUGAUUGAACCGCUUCUAACGGUCUAUUAAGUUAGACAAUUACCCUUAAGUUUGAUCUCAAAUCAGGUAGGACUACCCGCUGAACUUAAGCAUAUCAAUAAGCGGAGGA
rnacentral:misc_RNA from 1 species